rnacentral:tRNA from 1 species
GGGGUAGUGGCUCAAUGGUAGAGUGCUUGCCUAGCACAUAUGAGGCACUGGGUUCAAUUCUCAGCACCACA